rnacentral:rRNA from 1 species
CCGGUCUCAGUUCGGAUCGCAGUCUGCAACUCGACUGCGUGAAGGUGGAGUCGCUAGUAAUCGCGGAUCAGCAACGCCGCGGUGAAUGCGUUCCCGGGCCUUGUACACACCGCCCGUCAAGUCAUGAAAGUGGGCAGCACCCGAAGACGGUGGCCUAACCCCUGUGGGGGGAGCCGUCUAAGGUGAGGCUCGUGAUUGGGACUAAGUCGUAACAAGGUAGC